rnacentral:piRNA from 1 species
UAGAUAUUCUGGUAAUCAGCAGGAAAUCGA